rnacentral:rRNA from 1 species
UACGAAGGGGGCUAGCGUUGUUCGGAAUUACUGGGCGUAAAGCGCACGUAGGCGGCUUUGUUAGUCAGGGGUGAAAUCCCGGGGCUCAACCCCGGAACUGCCUUUGAUACUGCUAGUCUAGAGUCCGGAAGAGGUGAGUGGAAUUCCCAGUGUAGAGGUGAAAUUCGUAGAUAUUAGGAAGAACACCAGUGGCGAAGGCGGCACACUGGUCCGGUACUGACGCUCAGGUGCGAUAGCGUGGGGAGCAAACAGG